UACGGGGGGGAGCAAGCGUUGUUCGGAUUUACUGGGCGUAAAGGGCUCGUAGGUGGCCAACUAAGUCAGACGUGAAAUCCCUCGGCUUAACCUGGGAACUGCGUCUGAUACUGGACGGCUGGAGUUUGGGAGAGGGAUGUAGAAUUCCAGGUGUAGCGGUGAAAUGCGUAGAUAUCUGGAGGAAUACCGGUGGCGAAGGCGGCAUCCUGGACCAAUACUGACGCUGAGGCGCGAAAGCUAGGGGAGCAAACAGG
rnacentral:rRNA from 1 species